UGAAAAGAUAGGUUAGAACAAGGUUAUCACUGCUUCUCUGCAGAAAGGAAGGCUAAACAUCAGGACAAAGUGAACGAGGGACUUGGCUGAUGAACAAAAACCUGAAUGGACUGGAACAUCCCCAGCUAUGGAACUGGACUCUGUGGCUGGACCAGACACAAAUUCAGAAACUCAGACUGUGAGUUUGAGGAUCCAGAAGGGAAGACCAUGCACCAUUCAGAGGAUGAGCACAGACGAGAACACCAGGCCAAGACAAUGCUGGGAGAGCAACAGAUCGCAGUUCAACACUCCCAUCCAGUCUAAAAGAUCUUCAAAGGAUUUGCAAGGCAGAAUUGGAGAAACCGCAUUAAUCCAGAUCCAAAAGAGCAUCACAGUUCCCACCUUCUUACACUUGAAACCUAUUCCAGUGUGACAGGAGCAAGAACACCGGGCUGGUGACAAACACGUGACAAACACAUCACAUCACAUGGAGACAGGUGAAAAGAGCCAAAAGGACGAGAGAAGAGAGGGAAAAGAGAGCAUGGUGUUUAAAAUCAGCACCACAUGGGUAAUUAUUCACACUUAUCAUUGAUGAUAAUUGGACUUUGAACAAGUGGUUUAUAUCGAGAGAAUGACAGAAUCAGAAAUUGCUAUUGUAAUGCCUCCAAGGUUUGAAUCACGUGGAAAUGGGCUUUUUUAUAAGAUUAUGGGCUCCAUUUUCUGCUGGUGUUAUGGCAGCACCAGUGUGAAACACCCUUUUUUCAAUUCCAACAGAAUCCAUCUCUCAGCUUUUUUCUCUAUUGCACAAUGAAUGGAAGUUUACCUUUCUCUUAUCAGCUCGCCAGCACCCUAUGGACGGGAGAUACAGCUCUGGAAAAAAU